GAGAUGCUAAUUGUAAACAAUUCAGUUGUUAUAUUAACAGUGCACGUUAAUAUAACAACUGAUUAGGAUAAAUUUUUAAUAUUUUAUUUUUCUGUAGUAUUUUAAAUUUAUUUAUCAGGAUCAAUUUAUUUAGCAAAAUUUUGUGAGUAAAAUUGUGUUUAAUCCAUCUAUUCCAAAAACUCAAGAAAUAAAAUUAAACUAAAAAUUUUUACUUAUAUGAAUUCUUAUUAAAUUUAUAUUUUUAUUAAUUUUAUCUAUUCUGAUGAUUUACUAAUAUUUACUUUAUUAUUUUUCUUAUUUUCAGUGAAAUUUGUACAGAAAGGAGGCUGAUCGUGACAUUUUUAGUUAGUUUAGUGACGAAUUUUGUGUUUCUUUUUCAAUAAUUUCAGGAUGAAUUUUGUGUUCUUUCUUUGAUAAUAUUGUAAUUUUAUUUUUUAUUUCUGUCAUUUUAUUUUGGUAAUAAUUAAAUACUAUAUAUUGAAUCUAUAAUAUGUAUUUAUAAAAUUUUAUUUUUUAGUAUUUGCGCGACGUGCAUUGCACGUGUACUUAACUAGCAUAUAUAUAUAUAUAUAUCGAGUCCGGCUACUAUGCUAUUAAUAGCAUGAAGUACUUGGUGCUACCAAGUUUUCUGCCGUUAGAUUUACCCUUUUGAUCAUUUUCACCCGUUAGAUCAUACUAUUCAACCAACCACCCACUCAACCCU
rnacentral:lncRNA from 1 species